GAGAGGAAGAAAUCAAAGAGUUUGUGGACAAGGGGCCCGUCAGAGAGGUGGGCAUGGGCCCCAUCAAAGAGGUCAGAGGUGGGCAUGGGCCCCAUCAAAGAGGUGGACAUCAGAGAGGGAGGCAGACGAACACCGUGGGGGAAACAUCUCCAUGUGCGCAGCUAUUUCUGAAGAUGGUGUGGUAGGACGCUAAUACUCCUGCGGGUGCAGCUGAUAGUGUGCUCUGCUCUGAGGGAAUGGCCACUUCCACUGGCUUCCAGGUCAUGCCAUUUUGCUGCUGGUUGACUGUCUCUCACUGCUGAGGAUGUCAGGCCUUCCCCCUCCCUCUACAGUGUCCUCAUCAGAGCGGAAUGAACCUGGCGCUGACACUAAUAAAGAAUACCAUCUGUGCCUGGCAGGCGGAAGGAAAGAGGCGAGUGAACCAAUGAACUUCUCUGUAGCAUCGUUUCUCUCACCCCAUGCCACUGGCUCCCCUGAGCUCUGUCAUGAUGAAAGGGGAAGAGUGGUGCAGGGGUAAUUAA